AGAACCCCGGAAUGUACCCACAUAUGGAUAGAUUGUGUUUUUAGUUUUGUAUAAAGGACGGGGAAUGUUAGGGGAAUUUCGGAAUCCACCUGAGACGCUAGCAGACGUGCUGCGUGUGAAUACCGAAUUUCCCCUUGAGACGAUCGUCUUGAGAUUCCCCGAUCCAGAGUGCUCAAGUGACGCUACAAUAUUCGCCGCUGCAGGGCGCCGCCGGGCUGCGUGGUGACGCAGCUUCCGGGGACAGGUGAGAGACGUGACCGGAAGUUCGGGACCCGAGGCCGCGGGCGGCGCCUUCGCACCGGAGGCUGGCGUUCCAUGGAGGGUACGCCAGAGAAGCAGCACAGCCAGGCCACAGCCAACACUGCCGAGAGAUGCAGAUGGUGGCAAUGCCGGUUCUUCUUCGGCAAAUCCACCAACACUAAGGCGCCCAUCACAGAGCUCGGUUACUGUGGCAACGAGGCCACCCAAGAGACGCCGUCUUGAGGCUCCAGCUCCAGCACCAGCAUCACCACCCCAACAGCGCAUCUCCGCAGUGUCGGCCGUGCCACCACUAGUUCUAUUGGCCAGCCCCCAAAGUGAGGAUCCACAAUCCCCGCAGUUGUCUGACCCAGGCAUCAUCACCGAGGAUGCCCAGCAGGAACGUGACCAGGAGACCUUCACACUCCACCUGCAGCCCAUCGAUCCGACUCAGACAACCGCGCCGCAGGACAUACCGCAACCACCCCAAACAUCCCACAGCCCCCAAUUGAGCACAACGCAAGUUGACACAAAAAUGGGCCCUGAGUUUUGGAGCGGUUGGUCGUCACAACAGGCGCAAUACUGCGCAAGCCUCAACACCCACAGCCAAUACCUGUCAAGUCUGCCCCAUCAUUUGCCUAGACUGAGUCGCAACUCAGGCAGACUUAUAGUGCAGGUGGGCCGAAUUGCGAACUCCAUGGAACAGAUGAGGGCAGACAACACCCAAAUGCAGUCAAACCUCCAACGCAUCUUGGAUGAUCAGCAGCGGCAGCAACAAUCACUUAUACAGAUCAUACAACACAAUCAAAUGAUCAACGACAACCUCUCACGCAUGAUAGCUAACAACACUGCCGCUAACACUCAGCUCACAGCAAGCUUGAACAAUCUAAGCCAAAGCCUUAGUGUGUUGGCAUCACACCAUGCCACAUCUAGUUCUGGGACAACGACACCAAGCCACACCCCAGUUCAUUCCCCAGUCCGACGCUCAAGUCGAACCCGCACCAACGAGCCAGCACAAUCCUCGGCACCCAGCACACAAAGAAAAAAACAUUAAUAAUGUUCGGUCAGAAUAUAUUGACUAUUACAGUGUUUUUUGUUUUAGAUUGGUCGCAAAAAGUUGUGAGUUAAAAUUAAUAAAUUGUGAACACGCAA